UGUGGCGGGGCCCGAGCGGCACGACCAUGGGGCGGAAGCUGGACCCCACCAGGAAGGAGAAGCGCGGCCCCGGGCGCAAGGCCCGCAAGCAGCGCGGGGCCGAGGUGGAGCUGGCCCGCUUCCUGCCGCCAGAGCCGGAGACCGGCAGGAAGAAGCUCUCCAGUCACGGCAGAAAGAGGGCUGCGAAGAGGCGGCUGGGAGCGGGCGGAGGCCCGGCGGGGAGGAGGCCGCGAGGAGGAG